UAUUUUCGAUCAUUACAUCAAAAGAUGACAACAUACUCGACUUGUAUUCGCGUAUAUAAAAAAGGGACAGUUCACAGGUGAAAUGAAUUGGUUGUCGAGCGCACUGAAGCGACUACGACGAAAGGUCAAUAAUGAUCCUUCCGCAGGUUCACCUACGGAAA
rnacentral:misc_RNA from 1 species